UUGAUCAUGGCUCAGAUUGAACGCUGGCGGCAUGCCUUACACAUGCAAGUCGAACGGCAGCACGGGGGCAACCCUGGUGGCGAGUGGCGAACGGGUGAGUGAUACAUCGGAACGUGUCCUGUAGUGGGGGAUAGCCCGGCGAAAGCCGGAUUAAUACCGCAUACGGAUCUACGGAAGAAAGCGGGGGAUCGCAAGACCUCGCGCUAUAGGGGCGGCCGAUGGCAGAUUAGCUAGUUGGUGGGGUAAAGGCCUACCAAGGCGACGAUCUGUAGCUGGUCUGAGAGGACGACCAGCCACACUGGGACUGAGACACGGCCCAGACUCCUACGGGAGGCAGCAGUGGGCAAUUCUGGACAAUGGGGGAAACCCUGAUCCAGCAAUGCCGCGUGUGUGAAGAAGGCUUCGGGUUGUAAAGCACUUUUGUCCGGAAAGAAAACAUUUGGGCUAAUACCCUGAGGGGAUGACGGUACCGGAAGAAUAAGCACCGGCU
rnacentral:rRNA from 1 species